rnacentral:rRNA from 1 species
UACGUAGGGGGCAAGCGUUGUCCGGAUUUAUUGGGCGUAAAGAGCGUGUAGGCGGUUUGGUAGGUCCGUUGUGAAAACUCGAGGCUCAACCUCGAGACGCCGAUGGAAACCAUCAGACUAGAGUCCGGAAGAGGAGAGUGGAAUUCCUGGUGUAGCGGUGAAAUGCGCAGAUAUCAGGAAGAACACCCGUGGCGAAGGCGGCUCUCUAGUACGGUACUGACGCUGAGACGCGAAAGCGUGGGGAGCAAACAGG